rnacentral:rRNA from 1 species
UGGCGGCGUGCCUAACACAUGCAAGUCGAACGCCCUUGCUCUCGCAAGAGAGGCAGGGAGUGGCGGACGGGUGAGUAACACAUGGGUGACCUACCCCCCAGUGAGGAAUACCGGCGAGAAAUCGCCGACAAGACCGCAUAGGGUCUCUGUGGUCAAGCACAGAGAGCAAAGUCUCGCAAGAGACGCUGAGGGAUGGGCCUGUGGCCGAUUAGCUAGUUGGGGGGGUAAGAGCCUCCCAAGGCGACGAUCGGUAGCUGGUCUGAGAGGACGAACAGCCACACUGGGAUUGAGAACGGCCCAGACUCCUACGGGGGGCAGCAGUGAGGAAUUUUCCGCAAUGGGGGCAACCCUGACGGAGCAACGCCGCGUGCAGGAAGACGCUUUUCGGAGUGUAAACUGCUUUUCUGUGGGACGAGAGUGGACGGUACCACAGGAAGAAGCCCCGGCUAACUACGUGCCAGCAGCCGCGGUAAUACGUAGGGGGCGAGCGUUGUCCGGAGUUACUGGGCGUAAAGGGCAUUCAGGCGGGUCGGACGCG